CUUCAUCAACAGUGUAACGAUCUUACGGAAGAAGAUUCUCUUUCAGGUAUCACCACGCAGAAGUCUCUCUCCGCUCCUCCCACGCUUAUCAAGACCUCCCCUUCUCUCCUUGCCGUCUCGAGCACUUCCACGAUGACGCAGGAAACCUCCCCUCAGCGCAACAGCGAGCCGGCAGGCAUUUCGCCUCGCCAACGCGCCAGAAAGAACCGCAGCGGCGAGAACGCCGCGCGCGUUAUCAUGGGCUUGGAUCUGGCGAGCGAUAGCGCCGAGCGGCGCCCGAACCCCGGCCGUCAGCACUGCGCCCCUCCUCGCAACAACUUCAGCUCUCCGAGAGAGUUCUUCGCCGGUCCCAGCCAUCCACCGCGCAUGUUUACGGGCAUUCGCCGCUAUCCCAACUGUAACCGUGACUCGGUAGGGACAAUGCUGACGGAUGAGUACUUCAUGACGAGCUGUGACGACUCUUCCAUCACCGGUCGCAGCGGGGGCGCGCUGAGGAGAGCGUCUUCGCGCAGCCUCAUGUAUGCUGCCAGUGGGGCCUACGGCACUCAGGCCAAGCGUGGCGAGGGCACGUCCCGCCAGAAGAAGGCUCGCAAGCGGGGCGGCUCUAUAAACGGCGCCACAGCGCUGCUUCGCUGCCGCGACGGCCUCACAAACAACUGCAUCGUCACGGCACCGGAGGCACCCUGGCGCUGCGGCGUGAAGAUUACGCACCCGCAGGGUGCAAUGGAGGCGCCUUACUUCGAGGACAACGAUCCGCGCCCGCCACGCGACGCCCCUCCGGUGACCGGCAAGCGCCACGUUCCGCCGCCGCACAAGGACGCGAAGAUGUUCGGCCAGGUUCCUCCGCCGCAGGAGGGCGAGGAGGAUCUGUUCCAGAGCACGCUGCCGCCGUGCCACAAGACGUCUAACAAGGCGAACGAGUCUGUUGAUGUGCUGAACCUGCACAGCUACACCGCGGAUGAGCUCAACGAGAAGCCACAGCCGUUCAAGCAGCUGGGCCCCCGCAAGUGCAGCGCCCCGGAGCUGCCGCCGAGGAAGCCGCCUGUGAUCAAGCCCAUCAACACCCCGGCGAAGCAGGAGCACGACGUGCUCGGCACUGGCCGCUGGGGCUCCCCGGAGAAGGAGCAACCCCGCGGCCUCGCCCGUGGCUUGUGCCGCCCGCCGCACGACACGGCGAAUCUGUUCCACGGUGGCAUGCCGCAGCCGGACGAAAAGGCCGGCUCCACGCGUCCCCAAGAGUCGGUUGGCAGCAAAGGCGGCAGCUUGAGCGCCCGCACGGAUUCGCGCCAGCCCCGCGUGAUCGACUCUCGCCGCACCGGCAGCCGCAGCGGCAGUGUGAGCGCCCGCACAGAUCAGGUUUACGCGAUCCAGGGUGAGCCUCACCGCGCCAGCAGCCCUGGCUCGCGCGUGGCUGCGCGUCCAUCCCGCCAGGUAGAAGCUUACCAUGUUGACAGCCGCAGCAGGAGCCCCAAGAAGCGCGAGGACCCCGUGUUCGACGACAGCUACCGUCCACACAGGUACCUGUUCAAGAAGAAUGCCGGCAACCCGAAUAUCCUGCACUACUACGACCCCACCAUCGACCCGAUGCCGGCGGCGGCCCCGAAGCGCCCGAUCCCGCGUUCAAACAUGGAGAGCAAGCUCGACGACUUGAACACGCCGCAGGUCAUCGGGAAGGCCCGUGGUGAGUUCUACAAAAACUCCCGUUCGAGCAUUGCUUUAAUUUAAGAAGCAGCACCACCCCUGGGAGCAUCACCGCACUUGAACUUAGAUCCCUCCUUGCUCCCCUCUUCUCGCCGGCACGCGCUUGUCGGCUGCGGCUCCCGCUGCAAUGAGGUCAAGUGCUGCCUCACCGCUUGCGGAGGAAGGGGAAGGGGCAGGUGAGUUGGCCAUCGACCCGCCCCGCGUGCGACACUGGCGGUAGCGGAAAGAAAGGGGGCCGAAACGAGACACUCGCUCCAAAAUGUGACGGUGAUCUCGGUGGUGUGCCUCGGCUGCGUACGCAAUGCGUGCACCCUCCAUGGGGUACAAAAAAAAAGACGGGCAACAUAUCGCGUUCCGUCGCGGGUCAGCUUCCCAAAUUUGAUGCAUCCAUCUCUCUCCGCAGCGCGCGUGUUGCAUGCAUGUCUUCGUGUGUGUGUGUGUGCGUGUGCGCAGUGAAGGUCUUCGUGAGAUGCGAGGGGUGUUGCGGAAUUUCAACCCAAAGGAGCGAGAGAGAGGGAAGGGGGCGCUCGCCAUAAACAGCGCAGCAAACAGAAAGGCAUUCAUGCAUCUGUGUGUGAGUGUGCUUGUGUGUGUUCGGGCUCAUGCCCUGCGUCGCUGUGUGUAGGCAAUAGUUUUUUUUUGUCGUUUUUUGCGCAUAUCAACGACGAUUGGACUCGAUUGCGACUGGAUCUGAGCAUCUGCUUCCAUCCGUCUUUGUCCUCCCUCCUCGUCUUUCCAGCUGUUUCCGCGCACCUUCUCGCUGGUGAGGUUUCGACGAAGACACGAUCCGCUUCUUUGUUGUACGUGCACACGAAAUCCAAAAAAAAAAAGGUAGAAAAGCCGUGAAAAUACCGUUAUGAUGCCACUGCGCAAGUAGCGAGCGGCGGGGUGAUGGCGGAGGAACGAUUCCGAAGAAGGGGUGUGUGCGCCUUCAAGGAGCAUGCACAGAGGCUCCACUUGACAGGCACGCGUGAUUCCUGUGCAUGCUGUUCCCCAUUCCUCGUUUCCCAUGCCUUCUCAUGUCUCUCCUUGUCUGAG
rnacentral:misc_RNA from 1 species